CCUACGGGGGACAGCAGUAGGGAAUCUUCCACAAUGGACGAAAGUCUGAUGGAGCAACGCCGCGUGAGUGAAGAAGGGUUUCGGCUCGUAAAGCCCUGUUGGUAGUGAAGAAAGAUAGAGGUAGUAACUGGCCUUUAUUUGACGGUAAUUUCUUAGAAAGUCACGGCUAACUACGUGCCAGCAGCCGCGGUAAUACGUAGGUGGCAAGCGUUGUCCGGAUUUAUUGGGCGUAAAGCGAGUGCAGGCGGUUCAAUAAGUCUGAUGUGAAAGCCUUCGGCUCAACCGGAGAAUUGCAUCAGAAACUGUUGAACUUGAGUGCAGAAGAGGAGAGUGGAACUCCAUGUGUAGCGGUGGAAUGUGUAGAUAUAUGGAAGAACACCAGUGGCGAAGGCGGCUCUCUGGUCUGCAACUGACGCUGAGGCUCGAAAGCAUGGGUAGCGAACAGGAUUAGAUACCCCAGUAGUC
rnacentral:rRNA from 1 species